GAAGGUGACGGGUGUCACAAUUUGGUAUCAGAGCGGGUUCCAUCCCGGUUCCGUCCGGGAUGGCGGUCAGGGGAUUCGGUUUUCAUCGGUUUUCAACUUUAAAAAAAAAAAACUAUAUAUUUAUUUAUACAUUUCGAAAUUCUUUUAGCACCAUUCUGUCCUGUAAUUACUAACUCAAAUGUCUCUUUCUAUGACGAUGAGUAAAAUCAUCGACUAUAUAUUUAUUUAUACAUUUCGAAAUUCUUUUAGCACCAUUCUGUCCUGUAAUUACUAACUCAAAUGUCUCUUUCUAUGACGAUGAGUAAAAUCAUCGUCAUUCGUCCUUCGACUAAUAAGGUUCUCGACAGAUGUUCAGCAGUUGCGUGAAGUCCAAGUUCGUCAGUUUUCUCGGGAGUUAUCAGUUUCUUCGGACAUGAUUUCGAGGCUAUCCAGGAGUGGAUAUAUGACGUUUCUGCCACCAGCCCACUUCAAGCAAUCGUUCCACGAGUUUUGUUACUGGAGAUUUUGUGGUGUGUGAUAUGAGCCAUUGGUUGGCAUGUGUUGUUGUGUGUACGAGUAUAUUGACUAUUUUGGAGAUAUAUUUGUUUUGUGAACUCGUGGAGAUCGCUUUUGAAUUGGGGUGCAGCAGCUUGCGUUGUGUGGGUGUUGGAGUUACACUUUGGUAUGUUUACCAAUUUUGGCAGUGUUGAUCGUUUCAGAGAUGUGUCAGUUUGGACAACUGACAUAGGACAUUGGGAGCUGUUUAUAUCCAUCGCAGGGUACCAGUUAUGCUUGGAGGGCCGAUUUGUUCGGAUAUUCAUCAGAGAUGGAGCUACGUUUUUACGAUGUUAUCCUUGGGACGGAUUGAUUGUCACGGCAUCAAGUAGUGUUGGAUUGCCUGAUGGCAAGAGUUCCGAUUGCUGGAGCAGAUGGAAGUUGUUAGUGCAUGCAUGCUACAUACUGAGGAGUUAUGGGAUACAAGGACAUAGAGAUUUUUGACUACCAUCUCGAUGGUUAAGGCUGAUGGACAACAUGAGCUGCAGGAUCUUCCGGUUAUUGCAGAGUAUGAGGACAUAUUUGUGACCUUUGGAACGGUCAUCACAUGACACAUGAGAAACUCUUGCGAUUUGUUUGGAGCAAACAACACCAGUUUCACAAGUUUUAUACCGAUUAGCACCAACAGAGAUGACAAAGCUGAAAGAGCAUGUUGAAGAUUCAUCAGACAAGGGUUUUAUCAGACCGGGUACUUUACCGUGGGGAACAUCAUCAUUGUUGUUGUAAAGAAGAAAGGUGGGAGUUUCAAUUUUGUAUCGACUGCAAAGGUCUGAACAAAGUGACCAUUAAAGAUAAGUAUCGCUUCCGCGCGUUGAUGAAUUAUUGGAUUAUUACAGGAAGUUUAUAGUUCUUGAAGGUUGACUUGGCAUCAGAACACCAUCAGAUUACUAUAUUUGAAGAGUAUCUACUGAAUGUGAAUUUUUGUAUACAUUAUGGAUAUUAUGGGACGCAGUGAUACCAUUUGGCUCGACAAAGGCACUGUUGCAUUCAUGAAGAUAUGAAUGACGUUUUCAUGAACAUUUGGAUAGGUGUGCGAUUGUAUUCAUCGAUGACAUCCUGAUUUAUUUUGGAGAAGAAAGGAGAUUUGUGAGCAUUUCGCGGAUUGCGUUGGAUAAGCCUGGAGAGCAUCAGUUGUUCGCUAAGUUGAGGAAGUGUAGCUUCUGGCAGAGGAAUGUUGUAUUUUUGGCUGACAUGGUUUUGGAAGCAGAAUUUUGAUGGAUCAAAAGAAGAUUAAUACCGUUUCGGGGAGGUCGAAACCUAAGAGCGCUACAAAGAUCUGCCGUUCUUUUUGGGUUAAUAGUGUUCUACUGGAAGUUCAUCAAGGGUUUCACCGGUAUAGUAAUGUUAAAGACGUGGUCUGCAUGUAAAGACGUAAAGUGUGGCUGGAUAGAUUUUUGUUCAAGGAGUUUCACUGAAUUGAAGCACAACUAAUGAAGACACCAGUUUUGGGUUCUACUGAGGCUGAGGCUUACUGUGAUGUGUCAGAUACUGGAUUGGAUUUAAAUUAAGGUAUGAGGAUUAAGUCAUUCAUAUGCAUCACGCCAGAGAGGCUGUAGUGGUAUUUGCGUUAUCGUUUUGGAAAUCGUAAUUGUACGGGAAGGAAAUUCAGAUUCUCUGGGAUUAUUAGAAUGUGAAAUUUAUCUUCAUUUAUUAAAAACUUGUACUUGGACAGUGCAGUUGGAUUGAGUUUGUAGCAGGCUAUAGUCUGGAUAUCGCAUACUAUCUGGUAAGGACAACCAGGUGAUAAAUGCCUUGGGUAGGCGUAUGAGCUGUAUCUCAGGAACCAAGAAGGUUCAUGAGUUGGAGAUUUGCUAGUCUCAGGUUGGGUGUCAUUACUAUCAAUGGAGAGACAGAUGUCCUUGGGACUUUGGAGCAGGCAGUUUUGCUAUGGAGGAUACACAAGCACAAGUUAGCAUUCUGGAUUGGUUGAACAGAUCGAGAUUGGGAGUAUUGGAUAUCAUACAGCUUUGAGCAGGAUAUACUUGUACUGAAACCGAGUUUGUGUGUUGGACGAUAAGUUGUUAAGAAAAGGAAUCUUACAACAAACAUAUCACUCGUGUUUCUCUACCCAUCGGGAAGACCAAAGGGUACAAAGAUAUGAAGAGUUAACUAUAAUUGGUGUAGUAUGAAGAUGUUUGUAACUACAUUACGUCGCGGUGCCAGACAUGUUAUAUGGCAAUAACAGAGGAUCAGUCAUCUAUCAUGUUAUUUUUGAGCUUGCUUUUGCUGGAGUAGAAAUGAGGCAUGGUGAUUAUGGACAUUGUUAUUGGAUUUUAAAUCACCAUAUGUGGAAAGGAUGCCACAUGGGUAGUCAUGGAUAGACUUACCAAGUCAGCCCAUUACCUAAGUAAUUAAGAAGAUAAUCAGGGCUAAUCAAUUGGAGCAGACCUACAUUAUUGAGUUCAGGAAGUUUCAUGGAUGUCAACAUUGUAUCGGAUUGGGAAUCGAAGUUCACAUCUACAUUUCAGAAAGCCUUUCGGAAGGCACUUGGUACAAAGAUCAUAUGAGUACAUCUUAUCACCCGUUGACAUAUUGUCAGUUAGAGAGGACUAUUGAGGACUUAAAUGAUAUGUUCAGAGAUUGCGUGGGAUGGAAUUUCGGAAAGCAUCUACCUUUACCAGAGUUUGCCUACAUCGACAAUUAUCUUUCGAGUAAAAAAAAAAAAAAAAAAAAAAAAAAAAAAAAAAAAAAAAAAAAAAAAAAAAAAAAAAAAAAAAAAAAAAAAAAAAAAAAAAAAAAAAAAAAAAAAAAAAAAAAAAAAAAAAAAAAAAAAAAAAAAAAAAAAAAAAAAAAAAAAAAAAAAAAAAAAAAAAAAAAAAAAAAAAAAAAAAAAAAAAAAAAAAAAAAAAAAAAAAAAAAAAAAAAAAAAAAAAAAAAAAAAAAAAAAAAAAAAAAUUACUAUACAAGGGUUAUUUAUGGUAGACCUUAUAGUAUACCACUUUGUUGGACCAAAGUGGGGGAGCGACAUGAGUUAAAAGUAUUAAUGGUUCAAAAGACGGCUGAGCAAAUGGAAAUGCUCAAUGAUGGGCUUUCGGAAUCCCAUGACGUCAGAAGAUUUAUGCAGCUAAGCGCCAUAAAUAUUUGGAGCUACAUAUGGGCGACUUAAUAUACCUGAAAAUAAGGACAUUUCAAGAGGGGCCUAAGACUCAGAAGAUAAAGGAGCUUAAACCGAGACACAUGGAAUUGUAUCCUGCACUGGAGUGGAUUGGAUUAUUUGCUUGCAGUUACUUUAUCAGCAGUAUAUCAGCCUUCUAGUACUUGGUUCAUAUGACAGCAUUGCAAAAGUUGAGAAGGCGCUAUAACUAUUUUGCAGUAGACAUCAAGUGAGUUCAUAAAGAUUUUAUGAACCUUAUCAUCUAUUGGAGAUUUUGGAUCAUCAAGAGAAAACAGUUCGGGGAAUGUCGACUGUGUUUGUCCGAGUUCAUUGGGAGGGAGAUAAGACCCAGGAGGAGACCUGAAAGGUCGAGCGAAGAUUAGUAUUCGAGGUUUUGCUAUGAUGACAUUGGGCACGUUAGCUUAUGACAUGAAUUCGGGGACGAAUUCCUUAUAAGUGGAGGAGAAUUGUAAUGACCCACCACUCCCACCAUCUCCACUUCUUUCUCCAACCCCACCACUUCCAACUUCUUCUCCACCAUCUCCACCUUCUUCCCCACCACCUCCAUCUUCUUUAAAAUUAAGAAAAAGAGAGAGAGAGAGAGAGAGAGAGAGAGAGAGAGAGAAAGAGAGAGAGAAGAAGAAGAAGAAGGGAGAAAGCUCACCUGAGCUCGUCGCCGGAGCCACCACACGCCAGGACGUCGUAAAGCUCGUCACCACCAUCAUCCGCAACCAAAGGUAACCGGAAACCGCCAUAUUUUUGAGUUUAGUUUCGGCCGUUUUGGUAAAUCGACCAUAACUUCUUAACCGUUGCGAAUCUCGUGCAUCCAAGCCCAUCAUCGUGUUCCUCUCGUCGAGACGAAGCCGUAGACACCAAGCACGCCUCAAACGGAGCCCGGACGCAGCCGUACGCGCCUCCAGAAAACCGCCCUUCGCGCGCGCGUGAAACGCACGCGCCGCCGCCGGAAAUCGUCGCCACCGCAGCUCCGCCGCCGGACCACCGUCCGCCGCCGCAGCUCCGCCGUCGCCGCCGGCCAACUUUCCGGUAAGCCGCCGCCGCAGCUCCGCCGUCGCCGCCGGUGACCGACACCGGUGACUCACCGGCGACUCGGUCAACUCGGCCGAGUCAACUCAGUGAGUCAACUCGGUUGACUCGGUUAACCGGUUGGUUAGCCGGUUUAAAUUGAUUUUGGUUCGGUUAGGGUAAACCGGUCGGUUUAGUCAAAUCGAUUUCCGGGUUGACUUUGACCGGGUUGACUUUGACCAGCGGGUUGACUUUUUUCGAAAACCUUGACCAGUUCCGUUUUCGACCGUUCGAAAGGCGUUCUGACUCAGAAUUUCGAUCUGAUUUCAGAUAUGGAGUCUAUUUGAGCAGCUGGAGUUCAUAGACAACACUUUUCUAUUGCUAAGGUGAGGGUCUAUUCCCGAACUCCUCUUAUUCGGCUUAGGACCUCGAAUAAGUAUAAUUUAUUUCUAAUGUGUUCCGUCUGUGUGAAAUCGAGUCUAUCAUUGCUUGUUUAGUUUUAGGUUCUUUGCAUAAACCGGAACUAGGGGGUUAGAGGAUUCAACAUUGAUUGUUUCACUUAAUGUAAAUUCUUAGCUAGGAUUGUUUUUGUUUGGAGACGGAUACAGAGUCGGACUGCUGUAUGCCGGAUUGUAUGGAGGUCACAGCCAACUUUAGUCGACCGGUUGAGCUGUAGACUGGAAGUGUCGAUAAAUCGUCUACGGGCGUGUGUUACCGAGCACUUUUUCGGUGUGUGUAUGAACCGAGCACCUUUUCGGUAGUGUUUUGGCCUGUUAGUGGGCGGCGAGUGUGCACCUCGCUAGGACCAUUGUUUGUUGCUUGAGUACUUUAGGUACUGUGUUUGACAUGCAUUAGAAUUAAAUUAUAUUUAUUCGGAGUGCUAUGUCCGGGUCCAUGGACUUCGGGGUAGCAUCCCAUACCUCACUGAGCGAUUCCCCUGUCGCUCACCCCUCACUCUUCCCCCUUUCAGGUGAGACAAACAAGUAUGUGAUAUUUGGACGGACUUGGUGCUACUGGACUUUUCUUUCGGAUUUUAUUUGGGCAUGGGUGAGAGUUGUCGGGUUUAUGGGCUUUUAUAUUACAGGAUAUUGUUGGUGGCCCGUCGUCCUUAGUGUCAGGGAGACGGGUAUCACAUUGUUGUAUGAUGACGCGUCGGGGGUGACACGCUGUCCUCCAUAUAGGAGGUGACGGGUGUCACAGAUAAUUUCUUCAUCCUAACUCCUAUGUGAUUUAUUCAACUUAUUUGGUAUCAGAGCGGGUUCCAUCCCGGUUCCGUCCGGGAUGGCGGUCAGGGGAUUCGGUUUUCAUCGGUUUUCAACUUUAAAAAAAAAAAAACUAUAUAUUUAUUUAUACAUUUCGAAAUUCUUUUAGCACCAUUCUGUCCUGUAAUUACUAACUCAAAUGUCUCUUUCUAUGACGAUGAGUAAAAUCAUCGUCAUUCGUCCUUCGACUAAUAAGGUUCUCGACAGAUGUUCAGCAGUUGCGUGAAGUCCAAGUUCGUCAGUUUUCUCGGGAGUUAUCAGUUUCUUCGGACAUGAUUUCGAGGCUAUCCAGGAGUGGAUAUAUGACGUUUCUGCCACCAGCCCACUUCAAGCAAUCGUUCCACGAGUUUUGUUACUGGAGAUUUUGUGGUGUGUGAUAUGAGCCAUUGGUUGGCAUGUGUUGUUGUGUGUACGAGUAUAUUGACUAUUUUGGAGAUAUAUUUGUUUUGUGAACUCGUGGAGAUCGCUUUUGAAUUGGGGUGCAGCAGCUUGCGUUGUGUGGGUGUUGGAGUUACACUUUGGUAUGUUUACCAAUUUUGGCAGUGUUGAUCGUUUCAGAGAUGUGUCAGUUUGGACAACUGACAUAGGACAUUGGGAGCUGUUUAUAUCCAUCGCAGGGUACCAGUUAUGCUUGGAGGGCCGAUUUGUUCGGAUAUUCAUCAGAGAUGGAGCUACGUUUUUACGAUGUUAUCCUUGGGACGGAUUGAUUGUCACGGCAUCAAGUAGUGUUGGAUUGCCUGAUGGCAAGAGUUCCGAUUGCUGGAGCAGAUGGAAGUUGUUAGUGCAUGCAUGCUACAUACUGAGGAGUUAUGGGAUACAAGGACAUAGAGAUUUUUGACUACCAUCUCGAUGGUUAAGGCUGAUGGACAACAUGAGCUGCAGGAUCUUCCGGUUAUUGCAGAGUAUGAGGACAUAUUUGUGACCUUUGGAACGGUCAUCACAUGACACAUGAGAAACUCUUGCGAUUUGUUUGGAGCAAACAACACCAGUUUCACAAGUUUUAUACCGAUUAGCACCAACAGAGAUGACAAAGCUGAAAGAGCAUGUUGAAGAUUCAUCAGACAAGGG
rnacentral:lncRNA from 1 species